rnacentral:rRNA from 1 species
UACGUAGGGCGCAAGCGUUGUCCGGAAUUAUUGGGCGUAAAGAGCUCGUAGGCGGUUUGUCGCGUCUGCUGUGAAAACUCGAGGCUCAACCUCGGGCUUGCAGUGGGUACGGGCAGACUAGAGUGCGGUAGGGGAGACUGGAAUUCCUGGUGUAGCGGUGGAAUGCGCAGAUAUCAGGAGGAACACCGAUGGCGAAGGCGGAUCUCUGGGCCAUUACUGACGCUGAGGAGCGAAAGCGUGGGGAGCGAACAGG